AUUUUUUUAACUCCUCCCCCCCCAGCUGUUUCUGGACAGAUGAAAAGCUGUGAAUAUUUUGAGAGAUGGCAGGUAGGAGAAUUUCAUCUUUGUCAACAAAAUUUCUAGAUGUAGAUCUGAAGAUUACUGACGUAAACUACCAUCCAAAAGAAGUUCUUGUGAAAUUUCAAGGCAGAUAUAACACAGAUUGUGAGUUUGAUUACCAUAUAUUGCAAAAUGAAAUACAGCAGGUAUCCAAAGUGAAAGACAGUGUUGGGAUUGGUGAGUUUUGUUUGGUAGAAGACUCUGCUUGUGGAGAAUGGUACAGAGGAAGAGUAGUACAAAAGAAGAAUUACAUCUAUGAAGUAUUUCUUAUGGAUAGUGGGAAAAUCCUGGCAGUUGAUGAGACACAUAUUGCUUCUGCUAUUGAUGAGUUGUUUCAACUUCCUCCCAAGAUGGUUUGUGGGAUUUUUGGAAAUAUACUUCCAAUUGAAGAAAAAUGGACUCCAAAAGCUCUGAAUUACUUUUCGUCAUUAAUAGAUUUGCAGAUUAAAGGCCAAAUACAAGCCAUUCUACCACACCAAACAUUUCUGCUUGACGUGCCAAAAAUCACAAGUGAUGUGGUUGAAUUAAAAUUAGGCAAACUUGUUGAUGGAGAUACAUUCUGUCUUAUUGUAGAAAUGUUAACUGAAUUGCCACAAGAGCUGCUUUGUAAACAGAUGCCAGAUUUACUGCAACAAAAAUAUACAAGGCCGGAUUCUGUAUUAUGUAUUGAUCGAAUUCAAUCAGAAGUUCAACCAAUUAUGAAUAACCUUCAGCCGCUUUUAUCCGUUGGUGGGAUAGAGAAAGUAAAAAUAUCAGUGGCAGUCAGUCCAAGUAAAUUUUAUUGUCAGCUGCUGCAAUACCAGGUGGAGAUGGAUGAGUUGACAGCAAACAUGUCUUCCUGUUACGAAACUAGUACAGAAAAUGUUCCAUCCUGUGAGAAUCUAGGAGUCCUCUGUGCAGCAAGACGGAGAAAUGGCCAGUGGCAUAGAGGAGUGAUACAACAGCUGCUUUCUGAUAACAAAGUGAAUAUUUGGUUUAUGGAUUUUGGCAGCUAUGAAGCUGUGCCUUCCAGCUGUGUUUUAAAGCUUCAACCAGAAUUCAUGUCAGUACCUAGGUUUUCGGUUCCUUGUGCACUUUCCUGUCUUAGUUCUCAGGAUGAAACUGUAAGAAACGAUCAACUAAAAGAAUUCAAGGAGGCCUUGCUAAGACAAAGUGUUGUUCAUGCCCGCAUUGAUUUAUUCAAUGCUGAUGAACAUUUGUAUUACGUUACACUUCUUAAACAAGAGUCUGCAAUGCAUUAUGAACAUCUACCACAGGGGAGUGAAGUGAUUCCAAAACUUGACCCAUCCUUCAAGACCAAAAAAUCCUGUACAGGUGAGGAUAUAAAAAUCUCUGAUACAGAUCCUGUUUAUGCCGACUCUGUUCAUAGGAAUACUGUACAAUCAGGAGAUGAUUCAGAUUCAAAAGGCACUCAUUUAAUGUGUUCUCCUUUAAGAAUUCCUUGCAAGAGAGCAGAAAUGCAAAUCGGUUCUGUCUGUGUUGCUUUUGUAGUAUAUGUCUUGAAUCCAUCAAAUUUUUGGGUUCAGACUAUUAACUGUCGAGAUGAGUUUGAAGCCUUGAUGAAGAAAAUUGCAGCUGUGUAUGAUACAAGUGAAACUGUUGAUAAGAUUCUAGAAAAUCCAGAACCUGGAAAACUAUGCUGUGCCCGGUAUAGUAAGGAUAUGCAUUACUACAGAGCUGUUAUCAGGGAAGUGAUGGACAAGAGUAUUGAUGUUUGUUUUUUAGAUUUUGGCAAUACUGAAACUGUACCACUCUUCAAUGUGAGAGUUUUGCUUCCAGAGUUUCUAGAAUUACCAGCCUUGGCCGUUUGUUGUUCACUUGCUAAUGCAUUUCCAAUCGAGGACAUAUGGAUUAAAAAAGAAACUGACUUCUUUAAAAGCAUUGUGUUCGACAAACCGCUCACACUGCAUGUAAUUGCACAAAAAACCAAUAAGUAUAUUGUCAGUGUGCAGUAUAUGAAUAACUCAGAACAAACUGAUGUUGUUUUGUCCAUGGUUCAGGCUGGAUAUGCAGAAUAUUGGGAAGUAAAGCAAGAUCCCUUUCAGAACAUUGUGGGAGAUUUUAAAAUGCAAUGCUCAAAACAAAAGAUACAUAAAAAGAGUUGGCAGAAGAAGAAUAAAUUGCGGAGUCCUCUGACAAAAGAGCAAGCUGUUACCUUCCCGCGGUGGGAAAACACUCUUUCAGAUAAAUUGGGAUACGCAUCUGGGAAAGGUGAUACCCCGAAGCCUUAUAAGGAGUAUCGGUUUAAACCAGGAACUGUAUUUGAUGUCGUAUGUUGUCGUAGUACUUCACCAGGUAACUUUUUCUGUCAGAUGCGAUCUAAACUGCCAGAGCUAUUUAACUUGAUGCAACAAAUUCAGUAUUAUUACAACACUCAAAAAAGCCCAUAUGAACUUGGACAAUAUGCUUGUGUUGUGAAACAUUCUAAGGAUGGGAAGUGGUACAGAGCUGCUGUACAGCAACAUGUGUCCGAGACAGAAGUUGAUGUAGUAUUUGUAGACUAUGGUAACCAGGAAAGAGUUUUGUCAAAAGACCUCCAAGCAAUUCUUCCAGAAUAUCUGGUCUUAGAAUGUCAAACAUUCAGAUGUUGUCUUAAUACGGUCACUGAAUCCUUAACGUUUGACCCGUACAACUGGACUGCAGAGGCAUGUAGAGAUUUUGAGCGCUUUGUUUCCUCUUCUAAUGAUCUGCUGACCUGUACAAUUUCUGCCCUAAUUCUUCGGAGCCCCAACUAUUUAUAUAAUAUUGUUGACUUACAGACUCCAUUCACUACUUCGCAGCAGUUUCUCUUAGAAUGUGGUCAUGCCCAGUCUCGCUCUUUUGAAUUCGCAAGGUCCCUUGUGCCGCCAUUCUCUCUGUACACAUUUUACUAUUCAUCUUUUAACAUGAAAAUUGGAAAUGAAGAAGGGGUGUGUAUAACACAUAUACACAGCCCUACAAAAUUCUAUUGCCAACUAAAUAGAAAUGUAGGUGCUAUAGACAAACUGUUUGAAAAGAUUGCAGAGGUUAGUCAAAUGACAGGCUAUACAGACCAGCUAAACACUUGCAAUUUAUACUUAGCAAAAUAUUUUGAAGAUGGCCUCUUCUACAGAGCUUUAGCAUCUCCUAUGGGCUCAUCAGAUUACUUGCAAGUAUACUUUGUAGACUUUGGGAAUAAACAAUCAGUAGCAAAAAGAGAAAUGAUUCCUAUUCCAAAUCAUGCUUCAGAAUUAUUAUUUACUCCUAUGCAAGCUAUCAAGUGUUACCUUUCAGAUCUAAAAGAUGUUGAAAUUACAACUGAAAUAAAUACAUGGUUUGAGAAGAAUUACUUGGGGAAAGAAAUGAAGGUGGUAAUCGUAUCUAAGGAAUCUGAUGGGCAGCUUGGUGUGGAGUUGUAUGAUGGAGAUCUACAGAUAAAUAGGAAGAUUAAAGAAUUAUUGAAGCACACACAAAAAUAUGGUGUUGACCCAAAAAUUAUAAACACACCUGCAGAAAAGACUGUUGGAGACAAAAAUGUGUUGCAUAAAGUCAAGUCAGAAGCAGUUAAAAGAAAAAUUAAAAAUGAAGUAGUUGGUUGGAAGAGAGAAGCAGAAAAUGAAGCAAAUCCUGGCAAUCAGAGUGCUGGAAAAGAAAUUGCAAUUGAUCUGCAGAAACAGAGUACAAGGCCUGUAAAGCUCCCAGCAGCCUCAGAUAAUACAGAAUUGGCCUUGCAAAGCAAUCUGAGACAGAGAUGCAGAUAUACAUAUUGUGAAUCUUGGACUGAGUGUGAUAGCCCUCCUCGGGGUUUGAAGAAGAUGCCUCCAGAUAAAGAGUUGCAGAUCUUGAAACACAAAUAUUUUGGAGAAGAAAGGUGUAGUGGUACCAGGAAAAAGUACACAAACCUUCCACAGCAUCAUAUCCAGGCAAAUUCCAAAAUGUUAGUUUAUAUUUCUUCUAUAACUAGCAUGUCAAGUUUCUAUAUUCAUCGUGCUAAGGAUGAGAAUGAAAUUGUGCAGCUUGCUGAGAAGCUGAAUGGAGACUCACUGGUUCUAGAGCCAGAAACACCUGCUGAACUUGAGGAAGGUGACAUGGUUUUAGCAGAGUAUGAAGCUGAUUGCUGCACAUAUAGAGCUGUCAUUAGAGAUAUUAAAUCAGAAAAAUCUUUUGAAGUAGAGUUCAUUGACUAUGGUAACUCAUCAACGGUGAAUGCAUCAAAAAUAUACAAGAUGGAAAAGGUUUUCUUAAAUUUUCCAAGAUUCAGCGUACACUGUUUUCUUAGCAAAGCAAGAUAUGCAUUUCCAGAUAAAAGUUGCAGUAGCGAUAUGGCUGCCUGUAUUGCCAGUAAACUAAAUAAUCAACUAUUAGCGUUAGAGUUUUUACAACAGCAUGGUGAACAGUGGGAGGUUGAUGUAUUCUGCCAUGAAAUGUCUAUGAUCAAUGAGUUAGGUUUACAGAAUAUGAGUCUGUUACAUCUUGAUGAAGUCGUAAAACAUCUUCCAGUAACAGAUGUAGAUACUGAUGGUAAUGGCCAAAGUAAAAAAUCAGAAAGCCGAAAUGUGUCUGAAGUAUUAAUAAAAGCUGGACAUCCUUGGGAGAGCCACCCUAAGAUUCCCUGCCAAAAAAUAAAGCCUGGACAGCUAGAAUUGGCUGAAAUAGGUCACAUUUCAAGAGAUGGACAUUUCUAUAUAAAAUUGAAGAAGGAUGCACAAAUAUUUUUUGACUUAAACAUGAUGACUACCCAAGAAGCUGAGAAGAACUUCUUGCUUGCAGUGGAAAAUAUUCAAGAAGGGUUAGAAUGUUUGACAAAAUCAAAAGAGACCUUGAAAUGGUAUCGAUCUGAAGUUAUUAAAAAGUAUGUGAAUGAGGGUCGCAUGUUAGUUUUUUUCAUGGACUUGGGAGAAUAUGAAAUGGUGUCAUUUCAUGACACACAGAUGCUUAGUGACAAGUUCAGGAGUAUUCCCAGGAAUGCUAUGCCUUGUAAAUGGGCUUGGGCUGAAAACCUAGUGGACAUGUCUCUUGAGAGCGUGUUGAAGAUUAUAAAAUGCUAUGAGAUCAAGAUCUUGUUUCUGAGAUACCUAGAAUCUACUUUUAUGUGGGAAGUGGAUAUUUUAAUAGAUGGGAUUCUGCUGUUGGAAUACUGGAAUCAAAGAUCUUACCAAAGGGUGCUGGAGAAAUGUAACUCACCAGAAAAUAUAAAAAUGGGCAAAACAAUGCCUAAAUUGUCAUUCAGACCAAAUUCUGUUUCCUGGGCACCAUUCCAGAAUGAUCGGUAUUAUCCUGGGUUUGUGACGUCUGUCACUGAUCCUUCAAACUUCUGUAUCCAGUUAGAAGACUCAUUUAAGUCUCUAAACGCUUUGUUUAAGUUACUCUCUGACCUUCCAGAAAACCUGCCUACAAUUCCACAGGAGCUUGUCGUUCCUGGUACCAGUUGUUUGAUAAAGAUUGGAUCUAAUGAAAAGUGGAACAGAGUUGAAGUUUCUGAAGUCUCCAAACUCUCUAAUCUCUUAAUAGUUACUUUUAUUGAUGAUGGGUUAUCAGUUCCCAUCCCCAUUUCUGAUAGUCACAAGCUGAAAGUUAUCCCAGAAGAGCUUGCUAAGUUACCUCGAUUAACUUAUCCUUGCUCUUUGUUUGGAGUGUCACCUGCUGAUGGGGAACACUGGAGUGAUGAGGCAAAGCUUAAAAUUCAAGCAUUUCUUAGUAGACAAGGUCUCACAUUUAAGCUGAAACAGUGCCACAGUGGGCAGAAGCUAGAGGCUGUUGUGUUAUGUGAUAAGAACAAUGCAGCAGAUAUACUGGUUGCUUCCAGAUGUGCUGUGUAUUCAAACACUCCAUAUUCGUUUGGUUCAAUUAAUAGUGCAGAGCUUCAUCCAUUGAAUUCACAGAUAUUAUGUGAUUCAACACAAAUAUGUGGUCAGAAGAAUUUGGAUGCACAGAUUGCUCUGCUGUCAGUUGAGGAGGGAAAGCCACAAAAUUCAAGUUUGCAACUCAGUUGUGCUUGUGUUAAUGUUUCGAGAGGCAACAGCUCAAAAGGACUGUGUUCAAAGAGAAAAGAGUGGCACAAAGCUUGCUUACACAUUAAUGGAAGAAUGACUGAAACUCGGCUUAAGUAUGACAAGAGAUUUUGUGAGAGAGAAAGGCGACUCUAUAGUACAGGCAUACUUUCAGAAUCAAUCCACGAAAUGCAUGAUCUUAUGGGACUGAGCACCAAGAUUGAUGGGAUGCAAAUUUAUGAAGAGAGCUAAUCACACAAACGCUUCACUAGAAAGGAAUUUAAAAGUGAUCUAGUCUUGACACUUAAGUUUGGUUUGGCCCCAAUAUUCUAUCCACAUGAAUGUGACUCUGUGCAGUUCCAGUUUGGCAACAGCCCAGUGGAAACUUCAUGUAUUUCUGGAAGUGAUUAUGCGAAGUCCCCACAUAUGUAAGGCAUGUCUUUGAAGUCAUGCACAAAGAAUUUCAGGUUAAAAACUGAUAAGAAUUUCAACAGUUGGAAACAAGUAAUGGAUCUGGAUGCCAAUCAGCGCAUCAACUUUCACAAGAGAAAUCUUAAAAGGAAUUAUUUAAAAGGAAUUACACUUCUGCAAUCACAAAAAUAACAACAAUCCAUGAACCCGAAACGUUUGUAACAGGUCUACAAGGUUGACCUAAAGCUUGCAGCUUUUUGUUAAUUUUCUCUUGAUUUAAUAUUUUCUCUUGUAAUGAUCAAAAGGGAGUGGUAUCCUUGCCAACAAAUGCAAAAUGGUCCUCUUACAUAGUAUAACGUUUCACCACCAUUUUAUUUUACCAUUGAAAUUUAUACUAAUACAUAACAGUCAUUUGCAAGUUUUGUCUGGCUAUCAAAAAUAACCAGCGUCAACCAACCAGAUUCUGAGACAUUGCAAUAAAUGUUCUGCAUGGUUUGAUUGAUGUACUCAAGCUCAUGUAUUGGUUUUCAUAAGGGAAAGUAGUGUGAGAAGCAACAGCUUUUUGUUCUGACAUUUGCUGAGUUUUGUGGGUGUUUUCUUUAAACACACUGUUAUGGGAACUGUGCCUACCAAGGACUGCCAGUCUAAUGUUUACCAACCAAAAAAGCUUGAUCUGACCUAAACUUCAUAGGAAGUUGGUCUUUUGAUUUCAGUGGAACUUAUUUCCAAGUAAGUGCAUUUGCUGAAUGCAAAUAUAGUUGCGAACUACCACACGUUUUGGCAUUUUCAGUGUUUCUUUUUACAAUCCGCUGCUUAACUCACACAUUAAUUAGGACCCAACACGCACACGAGUUUACAUGCAAAACAGUGUGAGCAAACUCCGCAAUACAUUUUAUUGUAUGUGUGUCGUAAUAGGAAAAGCUGUAAUACAUGAAUACUUAGUUAUUAAGUCAUAAGGAAAAGUAGUGCUGAAUAUUGAUUUGUGUUUUAGCUGUCUUUCCUAUUUUAAUUUUCUUUGUGUAUGUUAUCUGAUUAGUCAUAACGCUGAUGCUUACAUCACACAGGUAUAAAUGUAUGUGUAUCAGGUGUCCAGGGAGCCUCAUACGUGUACCAGGGCAUGCCGAAUCUCACAUUUCUACUGCUGAAAGUCAUGCUGCACUGGAUCCCAGUUGUGAAGGUUUCCCAACUUAGUGGAGUUCCACUGAGAAGUGGAAGUUCUGCCUGUAGCUCAGUUUAUUCUGAGACACAUGUACACCUCUCCAGUCUGCUAAUAUACUUGAUCUGCAGCAUGCCUUAUAAUCUGCUGGUUAAUUUCCACAAAUGGCUGGUAUAUUUUAACCAGUGAAUCCAUCUUGUUUGUGCCUAUGUGAUUUGUUUAACACAAUUGGCUUUAAAAGUGUUCCCACAUUAGUCUUUUGAUGGGACAAACAGGAGAUUGGUUGCUUCUGCAUCUUCAUCUAUAGGAACUACAAUUGUGUGUUGAUGUACUAUCGUAUGUGUCAGAAUUUUCAAAGUAAUCCAGUUGCUAGAUUUUAUUCAGCUACCAAUUUAGCUUGUAUGCUAGGAAAUAUGCAUGUAGCAUAAAAAUUAUGCACAUUCUUAUUGAACCUACUAGAAAAAAGCAGGCCUUUAAAAUUUGUAUUUUAAGUUUUGCAGGCUAUAUGUAAACUAUGUACAUACUUUGUUUACUGAAAUGAGAGUGCUCUUUUAUUUAAACUGAUGGUAACAGCAAUAAAUCUGUGGUAAAGGUU